AGAAGUGAAAUGUUCUAAGCAAACUGCUCCUUUCUUGAAGGCACUGUUUUUUAUUAGGAUUACAAAUAUUAGAAUGGACUCAAUAGGUGGCACUCUUACCUCUGAGCUGGGUUCGUGUAACUCUGUUACAUGGAGAGAGACAGAAUACAAGAAAAGCUCAAACAAACAAGAGUUUUUUUUCUAUCAGAGGCUCAAUAGACAUUUGGAUCCUGUUUUGGAACUUGCCAUAGGAGGAAUUAUUACUGAGAGCUUCAGAGAACUAUUAAAUCACAAGAGCUUCAGGAAAAAAUAGAAAAGAAAAAGAAAAAAAGAAGUCUAAGAACCCAAACAAUCCAUCAAAAUGGAGAAGAGUACUGUAUUCUGUCCUUCUGCAAAAAGACCAUGUGCAUCUUUACUGAAAUUCAUACAAAAACACCAUCAGAGAUAUCCCUACUUCAUCUAACAGGUCUCUGGGACUCAGUCAUUUCUAAAGCAUUUUUGGAUUGUUUUCUUUAAUAUAGUGCAAAGGUUUUUUGUUUUGUUAGAAGAUAUAAGACAAAGCUUUCACUUGUGAGUUGCAUCUGGAUGAAACAAGUCAUGAUAUGUUUAAAUAAAUAAACAAAUGAAGAC
rnacentral:lncRNA from 7 species